UCAUAAAUGUAAAACAAGAGUUUAUCUGUCAAAGGCGGUUAAUAUGUAUUUUUCUUUUUGAUUUGCGAAACUUAUUUCUUGUACCAUUGCGUAUUAUUUUCUGUUGACUCCAAAAAUGUCUUCCUCAGUUACUUCUUUAAAUUCUAAACCUGAGUUUCAACAGUGGCUUAAAGAAUUGUUUGAAGGGGAGACAGAAAGUAUUCCUGAAUUUAUACCAGAUGAAAACAGUUUGAAAUUGCUGAGUAGUAUUAUCUCAAAGAAUAAAGAAGCAGAAAAGGAUGCAAAAGAAGUCAUAGAAGCUGAAAAACGACUUGCAGAAUAUUAUGAUAACCAAAGUAAUGAAAUGUGUGAAAUUCUGAAUGGUAAUCUACUGCCUUUAAAUCAUGAAGUGUCAGAAAGGGUAGAAAAACUUGCUGCUGUAGCAUACAAAAUGAAUUUGAAAGAGCCUACUAUUACAAAUUUUUUUCUAGGAGCUUCUGUAGCUUGUGAAAAUGGACUUAGACGUAAAGAAAAACAAACGAUUAAGGAUUAUAAUACAUUCCUUCUCGAAAAAAAGAUAUCAGACACAAAAAUGAUGAAUGACAUGUUAAAAAGGGAAAUAGAGGAUGUAAAAAAAGUAUUGCAUAUUCAAAAUUCUUUGGAUAAUAAUUUCAAUGAAAAUACUUCAUUUGUAAUGCAUAAAAUUGAAGACUAUAAAUCAAGAAUGAAAAAACUAGAAAGACGUUUGGAAAGUGCAGAAUAUGACUCCAUGUUUAGUCACAGUGAUCUAGUUAAAAAGGCAGAGUUUUUAAGAAAAAUCGUAAUUCUUGUUGAAGAACACGAGAAACCUAUGAUAUAAACUUCUUAGAAAAAGAAGUCGAGUGUCUUCGUGCAAAAUUAGAUAGUUAUCAGUCAUUGCCUCCGAAUGAAAUGUUAACAAGAUUAAAGAUAGAAGAAGCUCAAGUUGAACUUGAAAGACUACAAAAUCAGUUCUCUGUUUU
rnacentral:misc_RNA from 1 species